rnacentral:rRNA from 1 species
UACGGGGGGGGCAAGCGUUGUUCGGAAUUACUGGGCGUAAAGGAUUCGUAGGUGGCCAACUUAGUCAGACGUGAAAUCCCUCAGCUUAACUGGGGAACUGCGUCUGAUACUGGAUGGCUCGAGUGCAGGAGAGGAACGCGGAAUUCCAGGUGUAGCGGUGAAAUGCGUAGAUAUCUGGAGGAACACCGGUGGCGAAGGCGGCGUUCUGGACUGCAACUGACACUGAGGAGCGAAAGCCAGGGGAGCAAACGGG